rnacentral:rRNA from 1 species
GACGGAGGAUGCAAGUGUUAUCCGGAAUCACUGGGCGUAAAGCGUCUGUAGGUGGUUCGAAAAGUCCACUGUUAAAAAUUGAGGCUUAACUUCAAAGAUGCCGUGGAAACUUUCAAACUAGAGUAUGGUAGGGGUAGAGGGAAUUUCCAGUGGAGCGGUGAAAUGCGUAGAUAUCGGAAGGAACACCAGUGGCGAAAGCGGCUUCCUGGUCCGACACCGACGUUCAGGCACGAAAGCGUGGGGAGCAAACAGG